rnacentral:rRNA from 1 species
UACGAAGGGUGCAAGCGUUAAUCGGAAUUACUGGGCGUAAAGCGCGCGUAGGUGGUUCGUUAAGUUGGAUGUGAAAGCCCCGGGCUCAACCUGGGAACUGCAUCCAAAACUGGCGAGCUAGAGUACGGUAGAGGGUGGUGGAAUUUCCUGUGUAGCGGUGAAAUGCGUAGAUAUAGGAAGGAACACCAGUGGCGAAGGCGACCACCUGGACUGAUAAUGAAACUGAGGUGAGAAAGCGUGGGGAGCACACAGGAGGCGAUAACCCCGUAGUCC